UACGUAGGGACCGAGCGUUGUCCGGAAUCAUUGGGCGUAAAGAGCGCGUAGGCGGCUAUUUAAGUCCUGCGUGAAAUCCUGCGGCUCAACCGCAGACGGUCGUGGGAAACUGGAUGGCUAGAGUGCGGGAGAGGAGAGUGGAAUUCCCGGUGUAGCGGUGAAAUGCGCAGAUAUCAGGAGGAACACCGGUGGCGAAGGCGGUUCUCUGGGCCUGUACUGACGCUGAGGAGCGAAAGCGUGGGGAGCGAACAGG
rnacentral:rRNA from 1 species